AGAGUUUGAUCCUGGCUCAGGACGAACGCUGGCGGCGUGCCUAAUACAUGCAAGUAGAACGCUGAAGAGAGGAGCUUGCUCUUCUUGGAUGAGUUGCGAACGGGUGAGUAACGCGUAGGUAACCUGCCUUGUAGCGGGGGAUAACUAUUGGAAACGAUAGCUAAUACCGCAUAACAAUGGAUGACACAUGUCAUUUAUUUGAAAGGGGCAAUUGCUCCACUACAAGAUGGACCUGCGUUGUAUUAGCUAGUAGGUGAGGUAACGGCUCACCUAGGCGACGAUACAUAGCCGACCUGAGAGGGUGAUCGGCCACACUGGGACUGAGACACGGCCCAGACUCCUACGGGAGGCAGCAGUAGGGAAUCUUCGGCAAUGGGGGCAACCCUGACCGAGCAACGCCGCGUGAGUGAAGAAGGUUUUCGGAUCGUAAAGCUCUGUUGUAAGUCAAGAACGAGUGUGAGAGUGGAAAGUUCACACUGUGACGGUAGCUUACCAGAAAGGGACGGCUAACUACGUGCCAGCAGCCGCGGUAAUACGUAGGUCCCGAGCGUUGUCCGGAUUUAUUGGGCGUAAAGCGAGCGCAGGCGGUUUGAUAAGUCUGAAGUUAAAGGCUGUGGCUCAACCAUAGUUCGCUUUGGAAACUGUCAAACUUGAGUGCAGAAGGGGAGAGUGGAAUUCCAUGUGUAGCGGUGAAAUGCGUAGAUAUAUGGAGGAACACCGGUGGCGAAAGCGGCUCUCUGGUCUGUAACUGACGCUGAGGCUCGAAAGCGUGGGGAGCGAACAGGAUUAGAUACCCUGGUAGUCCACGCCGUAAACGAUGAGUGCUAGGUGUUGGAUCCUUUCCGGGAUUCAGUGCCGCAGCUAACGCAUUAAGCACUCCGCCUGGGGAGUA
rnacentral:rRNA from 1 species